ensembl:lncRNA
CGGGCAGUGUUGGUUGAGCUGACAACCCUAAGAGGCUGGAGCUCGGAGAGGCUGUGGCUCACAGGAGUGAGGGGCACAGACUCUGGAGCCAGGCUGCCAGGCUGACUUCUGUCUCUGCCACUUCCUAGCUGUGUAAGAUCAGGCUCUGUGCAGACAAGAGCCCUUUGCUCCUGCUGGGACUGGCGUGCUCAGCAAACCUGACAGACAACGUGCAAAAUCAGAGUGCUUCCAGCAAAGCGGGGCGAGAACAAGGACGAGGAGGAGAUAAGAAGCAAACAGCUGCAGAAGAUCAGUGGAGAAACUCAGGCUCUUGGUGGAAAUAUGACACAGGGUGGCCAAGGACACUGCUGGGUUUCUGUGCAGUUGGCCUUGAGUGGAUGGCCUGAUGAGGCUUUUUAUCACCUUGGUCUUCGGAUGCAUCUCCACCAUGACCACAGCAGUGAGGCCCCUUCCACGCCUCUGGGUACAGCCUUCGGGAGCCCCUGAGAAGGAGUGCAUGGACUAGGGGGUGGGAGCUGACUCCAGAGAGGUGGGCAGGCCGGGAUCACAGAGCAUCUUGGCUGCACAGCCCAGGAAUCUGACUUACGUCCUGUUAGGCAACAGGCAGCCAGCCACGGGCUUGAGGCAGGAAAGCGGAAUGAUAUGAUGGGUGUUUCAGACACUUCUUUCACAGCUGUGUGGAGGAUAAGCUCCUUGCUAAGAUAAAGGAAACAUGGGCUAAUUUUCUUCUUAAAUGUACUAUAUUUUCCAAGUCAAGCCUAAAUCACUGACUUUGCUUUUCUCCGUGUAUGUUUGAUUUGAUCUCUAUAAAAGGUUAAGGAAAACUUUUAUUAUCUUAAGCCUUUGAUGAGGCCCUGAUUUGUCCUCUCCCCGCCAUGUGAAGCAGAGCACGGAGGAGUAAGGCAACUUUCCCAAGUUCGUGCAGUGGGUUCUUGGCACAACCAGGGAGGAUUUCACGGUCUGGAUUCUCAGAAUUGUGCUCUAACUGGAUCCUGCUGCGAGUCACCCACACUCACACUUACCUCCUAAAAAGUCACUUUCAACUGAGAAGAAGAGAGAUUAUGCCCAAGCUUUGGAAACUUGGCUCUGAGUCGAGGUCCCACGUUCGACUUUUGCUGAUCGCUGCCUCAGUUUCCUUCUGUGUCACCAGUCUUGCAUUGUCAAUGUUUCUCAGUGAGUUUCCCAUCAGUGCCUUCACUGCAUUAUAAAUGUAAACACCACCAAAGUUGACCUUGAGCCCAGCAUGACUCUGAGGCCCCAAAGAAACCUUCCUUAGGAACUGUGAGGAGUAAACAAAUGUUGAAUAGAGAAGUCAAUGUUGACUGCCUUCUCUUCUGACAUCUCCCAUGUACCUCUUCCUUUACUAUGAGAAUUGGUUUCAGACCCAGGAGGAUGUCAGCAGUGUCCUAACUGGCUCAGAGCUGUGAUGGCUGCUUCAUGGUCCGCCCCACUGCCCUCUAUCCCCAGAGCAUGCCCGGCAGGAAGAACCUGUGUGUUCAGGAUGUUCAUGAGGCUGCAUUUAUAGUGUACUGCAGAUUUCAUGUAAAUAUUUCUGUCAUUUGAAGUAGAGAAUGAUAUACCAUAUAUCCCUUUAAUUAAUUGAUCUCAAGCUAUGCUAUUCCCAAAGGCAACAUAAAUGUCCUUCAUACAAAAGGCUUCCAAACUGUCCAGUGACACACACAUGUUUCUGUCUGGCUUUGCUCUUUCCAUCAUGCAGUCGAGUCCUUUGCUUCUAGCCCAUCUCUCAUGUACCUACCCUUUAGUCCUCUGAGGAAAAUCACAACAACCCAGGUGAAAACCCUGAGGUCACACAAGUAAACAAAGUUUGAGCUUUUUUAAACAGGAUGUUGUUGGAUUCAAAUUGGACUUUGGGCUAAGAGGAAUGAACAGUGCCUUUUACUGCAACCCUAGGCAUCCAGGGAAAAGUACAGCAGACUUGAAAGGAACCAAGCUGCAGGCAAGUUAGGACAUUUCCAAAAAAAAUAGAAAAUAGAAAUCUGUUUGUACUUUUGGAGCAUCAACGAGUAAGCUAUUUUCAGUUAGGUUAGUAAAAGCAUGUUUAAACCUGUUUGCAGAGACAGGCUCAUAAAACAUCCUCGCCAGAAAGCAGAGACAGGAGUCGGGGGAGGUGGCAGUCCCUGUAUUUUCCCUUAGUGAACUGAGUGUUGUCCCAACAGGCAACAGGAUACAACAUUUGCCUUGGUCUGAAUGAAGCCCUGAACAGUGCAGCCGGUGCUGUAUUUCAUCGUGACACCAACUGGCCCCUAUUCUCCAAGCUCAACAUCCCCCUUCUCUCUAAAUGAAACCUAGCCUGGAACAAGGCUGUGCUUACAAGAGAACUCACAAUCAGC